rnacentral:rRNA from 1 species
UACGGGGGGGGGCAAGCGUUGUUCGGAAUUAUUGGGCGUAAAGAGCUCGUAGGCGGUCUGUCACGUCGGCUGUGAAAUCCCGAGGCUCAACCUCGGGUCUGCAGUCGAUACGGGCAAACUAGAGUAUUGCAGGGGAGACUGGAAUUCCUGGUGUAGCGGUGAAAUGCGCAGAUAUCAGGAGGAACACCGGUGGCGAAGGCGGGUCUCUGGGCAAUAACUGACGCUGAGGAGCGAAAGCGUGGGGAGCGAACAGG